rnacentral:rRNA from 1 species
CGCCUACGGGGCGCAGCAGUGGGGGAUAUUGGACAAUGGGGGAAACCCUGAUCCAGCGAUGCCGCGUGAGGGAAGAAGGUUUUCGGAUUGUAAACCUUUGUGGAGGGGGACGAUAAUGACGGUACCUGACCAAGAAGCCCCGGCUAACUACGUGCCAGCAGCCGCGGUAAUACGUAGGGGGCAAGCGUUAUCCGGAAUUACUGGGUGUAAAGGGAGCGUAGACGGCUGUGCAAGUCUGGAGUGAAAGGCGGGGGCCCAACCCCCGGACUGCUCUGGAAACUGUAUGGCUGGAGUGCCGGCGAGGG